AGAUUGGAGGUGGGGUGUAGCUGUACUGUAACAUGAAUAGGUGGGAAUAGGAGGGUGGACUGGGGUCCUCUCUGCUCGCGUAUAUAAGAGACGAAAUUUCUACCCAACGCACACGAGAGGGAACAACGGCACCGAGAAGCAGUAAUUGUUACAGCCAGUACUCACACUGAUAACCCCGUCUAUCAUCAGGCUCAAUCGUCUGGAGGACACUCGUUAUUAUCUCUAGUGGUAAUAUAGAGUAAAAGGGGCGACUGUUGUCAGAAAACGAAACAAUUACCAAGUGCACUAGCUCGUUGAAAGGGCCACGUGGUGGUGUUGAUGUCAACAGACCUUCCUACAACUAGUCCAAGGUCUAAGAUAUUGUAUGAUCUCUAAAGAACUCCUACAGUCCUGACAAGUGUCCAAGACCAAUAUGAGUCCUACUAACCCCACUUUAAAAGCGAGCUGCAGUCCUAGGUCAGUGUCGUGCGGCGCUAGUCGUGCUGCACUUGUCGCACUGCUGCUGCUGCUGGCGUUGCCGUCGAUGCUGGGGACUGAUGACGAGUUUCGCUGCUACAACGGGGGCAUGGUAUAUUUAAUCAGAACUGACACCCCUAGUGUUUAUAAAAUUCGAUGUAGAUGUGUGUCAGGCUUCGGCGGGAGAUAUUGUGAAAUACGUUUCACGAGUCCGGUACGGCGUGAUGCUAAGCGCAACUUAUUCGAGUUGGCACGACAGGGAGAAAACCAACCAUUACUGGGACGGACAACGCGGAUGAUGAGUCUGAAGAGAGGCCGGUAGAUGUGUGGAGGGGUCGUGAGAGAAAACACCUCAGUCCGAAUUGAUGAUAGCACAAGACAGCAAAAUACGAAUAUCCUGGAGGAGUUCUCAUGUUUUUGCCAACGACACCGAGCAGGCGGCAACGGCUUUGUUGACAGCAACUGUCGACAGUGAAUAAUAUAGGCAACGGUGUCUGUGAUGAAGACAUGAUGAACUGAAAAUGUCAAUAUAAGAGUUAUCCAUCUUGAC